UGUAUUAAAGGAGAAGUUAAUACACUCUACUGUACUGACUGUCUGGUAGUCAGUGUUUCCCAGUACAAACUGUUACAGAGCUCAAUUCAACUGUAUACUUUUUGUAUAACCCCACUUUCCAAGAAUGAACAGAUUUGUAUCCACAUACCAAUU